GCCAGGCAUGGUGGUGCAUGCCUGUAAUCCCAGCUACUCGGGAGGCUGAGGCAGGAGAAUCACUUGAACCCGGGUGGCCGAGGUUGCAGUGAGCUGAGAUUGUACCACUGCACUCCAGCCUGGGCAACAGAGUGAGACUCUGCCUCAA
ensembl:misc_RNA Metazoa_SRP Metazoan signal recognition particle RNA